GCCACCGCGACACGACACGAAUAGGUUCGUUCGGAAUGUACCACUAUACUUACCUGUAGCCUAUGGGUAAUAUCUUUGGGCCAGUUCAGUUAAGCGUGGUAUCAGUGCAGAAUGGAGAAGGAGAAAAUACGCAGAGCUCGGGUUGUUAUAAAAAAAAAAAAAAAUAAGCGAAGACUCCUGCAAGUUGAUAAAAGCAGCGAUGACGGAAUAAAACCGCUCGGUAGACCCGAAACGAGACGGGAAG